rfam:Nicotiana sylvestris Nsyl_contig96998, whole genome shotgun sequence.
GAGUGAAGAGCAUAUCACAUAGCCAAAGUUGACUGCCUGCAACUCAUGCAAAAAGGCUUUUAUUUUUUAUCUAGCUAAUUAAAUAAGCCCUUGAAAAUGGUCCGGGCAAGUCAUCCUUGGCUAUCAAAUAAGACUCUUCUUU